ACCCAACUCCGAGGGCGUGGGCCUGAGCGCCAAGUGUGCAAACUCCCGCAGGCGAGAGCUGACUGCCGGGCGCAGGUGGGUUGCCUGGCUCCACGCUGCGACCCGCAGGGCGAGUGGCCGAGUUCCGCGGACGGAACCGGGAGGAUGUGAGACCUGUCUUUGAAGUCUGCUCGCGGUGAGCGUUCAAAAUCAGCAGUGUUUGCUCAGGUUGCACUGACCCUUUCCAGUGAGCGACCCCCUGCGCCGCUCGCUUCCUUGGCCAGUAGCUGAGUAAAGGAAAGCCUGGCAGUGUAAAACGGCCCCAGCCAAAACUUACUCCCCGCCACCCCGGGGGCCGUGAGAAACCCGCUGCACAUAAUAACCAGAACUGAAAACUUCCCCAAUGAACAGAGUGCAAAACAGCUGAAGAAGGAUCCUCAUUACUCAAAAGAUACGUUGACACACCUCUGGGCUUUGAGCCUGUGAGAAGGGCCCAGCUCUCUGCCACUUAAAGUAGCAACAUGGUUGAUGACAUUCUUCUUUGGCCCGCUCCCUGUGAGAGAACACAAACCACUCCAAGAUGAGCUGGAAUGCAGCCUUCAUCAUAGGACGAUGGUAAGUAGUCGAGAUAAAACACCCAGUAAAGCAAGUGGAAAGAGAAAAAGGCAGAACGAAUGUGUACCUUCUUAUGGAGCAGUGCUGUCCAUCCAUCAGCUGAAAAGGAAAGCUGGUACAUGGCUUAACGUUUUCAUUAAAAUGCAGUAGGCCAUCAGGAAGUCAGAUUUGCACCAACAACAAUGAGAUAUUUUUCUUACAGUUCCUUUUCCCUGAACAGCCUUGCUGUGGGCUUCAAAGUUCUCUCUCUGACCACAUUCAGCGAAGUCGCCUUUUUCUCUUCUCUUUGAUUGAACCCAGAGCUUUGGGAAGGGCAGUGAAGUAAGCCGAAAUGAAAUUGCCAAACUUAUGGUUCUCAAGUAAAUGAGAUUUUCUCCAAUGCUUACCAACUGUCACCAGGUCAGAUGGAUUUUUCCGCUUGAAGUCCCUUGAUGCAUUAAUUUCUCUGCGUCUUAUGGUAUCCUUCUGAAAGCAACCCCAACAGCCAUAAAAACAUAAAAAGAAAAUGCAUAGCAUAACCGGUGCACAAAAGGACAGUAAGAAAUAAAAAGUGAGGAGAGGGCA
rnacentral:lncRNA from 1 species